rnacentral:rRNA from 1 species
UGAGGAAUAUUGGUCAAUGGGGGGGAGCCUGAACCAGCCAAGCCGCGUGAGGGAAGAAGGCCCUAUGGGUCGUAAACCUCUUUUGUCAGGGAACAAAAGCGAGUAUGUAUACUAGUCUGAGUGUACCUGAAGAAAAAGCAUCGGCUAACUCCGUGCCAGCAGCCGCGGUAAUACGGAGGAUGCGAGCGUUAUCCGGAUUUAUUGGGUUUAAAGGGUGCGUAGGCGGCGAUGCAAGUCAGCGGUAAAAGCCCGGGGCUCAACCCCGGCGAGCCGUUGAAACUGCAGUGCUAGAGAAGGCGAGAGGUACGCGGAAUGCGCAGUGUAGCGGUGAAAUGCUUAGAUAUUGCGCAGAACUCCGAUUGCGAAGCAGCGUACUGGCGCCUGACUGACGCUGAGGCACGAAAGCGUGGGGGGAUCGAACAGGAUUAGAUACC